rnacentral:rRNA from 1 species
CAGUAGCCGCGGUAAUACGAAGGGUGCAAGCGUUAAUCGGAAUUACUGGGCGUAAAGCGUGCGUAGGCGGUUUGUUAAGUCUGCUGUGAAAUCCCCGGGCUCAACCUGGGAAUGGCAGUGGAUACUGGCAAGCUAGAGUGUGUCAGAGGAUGGUGGAAUUCCCGGUGUAGCGGUGAAACGCGUAGAGAUCGGGAGGAACAUCAGUGGCGAAGGCGGCCAUCUGGGACAACACUGACGCUGAGGCACGAAAGCGUGGGGAGCAAACAGGAUUAGAUACCCCAGUAGUCCCUGUCUCUUAUAC